rnacentral:rRNA from 1 species
UACGUAGGGGGCGAGCGUUGUCCGGAUUUAUUGGGCGUAAAGAGCGUGUAGGCGGCCAGGUAGGUCUGCUGUGAAAACUCGAGGCUCAACCUCGAGACGUCGGCGGAAACCCUCUGGCUAGAGUCCGGAAGAGGAGAGUGGAAUUCCUGGUGUAGCGGUGAAAUGCGCAGAUAUCAGGAAGAACACCCGUGGCGAAGGCGGCUCUCUGGGACGGUACUGACGCUGAGACGCGAAAGCGUGGGGAGCGAUCCGG